GAGAAUUAUCGGCUGAGAAUAUGAAGAAGGAACUCAAUCAAGAAGUGGCUGCAGCAAGCCACACCCAGAUUGAUGAAGAGGUCUAACAGACAGCAAGCAACACCCGCUGCUGAAGAGUGUUCUGAUGACUGAAUACUGUACGAAUUGUAAUUUAAACCUGUGUAAAUAUUUUCAGAAUAUAAAAUGUUAAGUGCA